rnacentral:misc_RNA from 1 species
ACAAACUUGGUCAUUUAGAGGAAGUAAAAGUCGUAACAAGGUCUCCGUUGGUGAACCAGCGGAGGGAUCAUUACUGAGUUAUUAAAACUCCAAACCCUUUGUGAACAUACCAUCUUUGCCUCGGCGUGAGCUGCGGCUACCCUAUAGCUACCCUACAGCUACCCUGUAGUUACCCUACAGCUACCCUGUAGUUACCCUACAGCUACCCUGUAGCCGGCUUACAGCCCGCCGAAGGACCGCUAAACUCUUUGUUUUUACCACUGUAUCUCUGAAUUAUUAACUAAAAUGAAUUAAAACUUUCAACAACGGAUCUCUUGGUUCUGGCAUCGAUGAAGAACGCAGC